UACGGGGGGAGCAAGCGUUGUUCGGAUUUACUGGGCGUAAAGGGCGCGUAGGCGGUCGUGACAAGUCACUUGUGAAAUCUCCGGGCUUAACUCGGAACGGUCAAGUGAUACUGUCGGACUAGAGUACAGAAGGGGCAACUGGAAUUCUCGGUGUAGCGGUGAAAUGCGUAGAUAUCGAGAGGAACACCUGCGGCGAAGGCGGCGCUCUGGGCCGGUACUGACGCUGAGGAGCGAAAGCGUGGGGAGCAAACAGG
rnacentral:rRNA from 1 species